rnacentral:rRNA from 1 species
UACAGAGGAGCCAAGCGUUGUCCGGAUUGACUGGGCGUAAAGCGCACGCAGGCGGGUGCGCGCGUGGGGUGUGAAAUCUGGCCGCUUAACGGCCAGGCGCCAUCCCAUACGGCGCGACUGGAGUGAUGCAGAGGUCGAUGGAAUUGCCGGUGUAGUGGUGAAAUGCGUAGAGAUCGGCAGGAACACCCAGGGGGGAAACCAGUCGACUGGGCAUCUACUGACGCUGAGGUGCGAGAGCGUGGGGAGCGAACCGG